rnacentral:rRNA from 1 species
AUUGAACGCUGGCGGCAGGCUUAACACAUGCAAGUCGAGCGGGGUGAUGGUGCUUGCACUAUCACUUAGCGGCGGACGGGUGAGUAAUGCUUAGGAAUCUGCCUAUUAGUGGGGGACAACAUCUCGAAAGGGAUGCUAAUACCGCAUACGUCCUACGGGAGAAAGCAGGGGAUCACUUGUGACCUUGCGCUAAUAGAUGAGCCUAAGUCGGAUUAGCUAGUUGGUGGGGUAAAGGCCUACCAAGGCGACGAUCUGUAGCGGGUCUGAGAGGAUGAUCCGCCGCACUGGGACUUAGACACGGCCCAGACGCCUACGGGAGGCAGCAGUGGGGAAUAUUGGACAAUGGGGGGAACCCUGAUCCAGCCAUGCCGCGUGUGUGAAGAAGGCCUUAUGGUUGUAAAGCACUUUAAGCGAGGAGGAGGCUCUUUUGGUUAAUACCCAAGAUGAGUGGACGUUACUCGCAGAAUAAGCACCGGCUAACUCUGUGCCAGCCGCCGCUGUAA